AACUUCGGGUCUAAGUGGCGCCGGGUGCGUUAAAGCGUGGGAAAUCUGCCCUUAGGUACGGAAUAACAGUUAGAAAUGACUGCUAAUACCGUAUAAUGACUCCGGUCCAAAGAUUUAUCGCCUAAGGAUGAGCCCGCGUAGGAUUAGCUAUGUAGGUGAGGUAAAAGCUCACCAAGGCGACGAUCCUUAGCUGGUCUGAGAGGAUAGAUCAGCCACACUGGGACUGAGACACGGCCCAGACUCCUACGGGAGGCAGCGAGUGGGGAAUAUUGGACAAUGGGCGAAAGCCUGAUCCAGCAAUGCCGAGUGAGUGAUGAAGGCCUUAGGGUUGUAAAGCUCUUUUACCCGGGAAGAUAAUGACUGUACCGGGAGAAUAAGCCCACGGAUAACUCCGAUGACCAGCAGACGAGGUAAUACGAGAGGGGGACUAGCAGUAUGUUCGGAAUUACUGGGCGUAAAGCGCACGUAGGCAGGCUAUUGUAAGGUUAGAGGGUAGAAAGCCACAGGAGACUCAAAUCCGGAAUUGCCUUUAAGAAUGC
rnacentral:rRNA from 1 species